AUCUCACUGGAGAUCCCAGCCUAUGUGAAACCUUCUGAAGGGGAGUUGGACUAGAUGAUGCCUAGAGGUUCCUUCCAACUCUGAGGAUUAUGUUCUAACCGGCUGUUCACGAGGACACCCAUGUACUUCUCUGCAGUGAUCUUCUCCAGCAGGUAGUGAAAAAAUUUCUUGCAAAAUUGCCAUCAUUUAUGUGAGGCCAUUUGGCUUCCUAACAACUUUUUUUUAUAGUGAAUAAUGUCUCCCUCAGACAUCAGAAUGGGCUUAAACAUUGUUAACUACUUCUGCUCAUUUAUUCACUUGGAUUUGUAACUUCUAAGUUUUCUUUUUUUGUGUGCUAAAUGAGAGGAUGUUGUUAUAACUAGAGAGAAGUAAAUAAAACAGUCUCAAAGGAUCUCUUGUAAUACUUUGCCUUUCAUAGUUACCUAACUUGGGGAUCUUGCUGUAAUUUUACUGUGAUUUGUCUAAAACUUUGAAUGUAGGUGACCUGAAAUUAGGUUUCAAGAGAAAGGAAGAGAAGCAAAAGUAUCUUUUUAUAUCUACAUUUUAUGCUAUCUGUGCAGGCUUUUAUUUUGAGUAUUUUUAGCUUUGUGAUCUGCUUGUAUUUUUUCUGACUCGCUGUGUCAAGACAAUGCUGGAGGAAAGCAAGCUCAAUCAGUCUAUCUUUCUCUGUUGUAAAGAGGUAUAUAUAUCACUUGAGGGACUUUGUAAUACUUGUAACAUUUGUAACAGAACAAAUGGUUGAAUUUGUGUGUAAUCAUGCUCCUAUAUAAAGGAAAUCAGUUCAUUGUAU
ensembl:lncRNA